UAACAGCCAAACGUGGGUCAUCUGAGUAAGGAUCGAAUACUCCAAUCUGAACUCGCAUAAUAUAAAAUUUCAAUUAAAAAAUAAGAAGGACUCUAUACAAGAAAAACAGAUAAAAAUGGAAAAGGAUAUAAUCCAGUCUUGGGCAAAGCAAAAUGUAUAAAAAAUAAUAAACUCCAUUGGAACAACAUGACUUAACUUAAAAAUACAAAAUGGAAGAACUUUAAGACGUAGUCCAAUAACAUUACCUUACGAAACGGCGGCCAUUCAUCCUCAUCAAUUUCUCUUUCAUCACUUUCCGCUGUGCAGUCUAAAUCGUCACUCGAGAAACAUGAAGA